UAAAACACGCGUUUCUUUUUUCUCUCUCAUCGCUCAAACAUUUCGCGUCUCUUUUUUCUCCCCUUCUAUUUCUCUCAUCUGAAAGGGGCGAGCUUGGAUUCAUUUUCAACCGGAAAAAGCCAGCGAUAAAUCGAGUCAGGAUCUGAAGCUACAUCUGGUCGAAUUCGUCCCUCAUCCGAUUCUCAAACAUGUGCUUCCAAAAGAAGCCCUAAAUCCUGGUAUGUCUCCAAUCCAAAUCAGUUUUUUAUGGGUAUUCCAAAUCAAGCCCUUAUAGAAAAUGUUCUCUCUCAUUUUCGUGUUUUCAGACAAAGCAAAGCCCUAAUAGGAACGAAUCUGUGUUCGAUUUCUUCUGACAUCUGGGAUAAGCUUUUAAGGUGCGAUUUCUUGUGGGUUUUCAUUUUCAUUUCAACUAUAUACAGUUCAGACAUCUGGGAGGAAAAUUUACUAAAAAUUUUCUGUAUAAUCAUGCUUUUAUCUGUGUGCUUGAAUUUGGUGUACUGGUAUAUGUUAUUCUUUCUUUCUAUUCCUCUUAUGAGAAUCCAGUCCCUGCAUUAUUCAAAAACGAAUCAGUGUGCCAUUUGAGUUUCAGUUGUUGUGGUGGUGCAUUUGAUUCGAAAUCAAAAAGUUUCCAGUCUUUUCGAUCAUAGAGUUAACAGCUGAAUCAUCUCUUCCUGCACAAGUACUUGGACACUUAUUAGUAUACUUGGUCAAUUACAUACAUGUAAAAAACAAAGCAUGCCAAAAUUACUAAAAGCACCAGCCUGAGCAAAGAGCAACAGGUGGUCUUUUGCAUCUAUACAACAUAAGCACUAGCUACAUUUCAAAAGGAUUCAAAUUAGUUCACAACCAAUACAUGUUAAGAGAGAACCGCGAGAAAUUGAGGUUGAAGUUUGCCAUGGUAAACUCUCAUGAACAAACCAUACAAGACAAUAUUUCUUAAAUAUGUUUAAGCCAGCACUAGCAGUAGCUCAAGCCAGCACUAGCAGUAGCUCAAUAUACCAAAAUCAUGUCCGGCCCCAACAAUAACUAAUUUUCUCACAAGUGUUUGAAGUGUCACUUAUGCUAAAACCCUUGGGAUUGGCUUGUCAAACACAUAUAAGUAUGUGAAAUAGGCUAGUGCUAAUGCCUUUUCCUAUUGCUUUGUUUUAAAUUUGACCUAUAUUAAGCUUGGAAUGCCAAGGGAUGAAUAUGAUACUGUUAUUUUUGUAUAGGUUGACAAAGAUUGUAAUGGGAUGGAACACUUAACUAAAAAACUUGACUCAGUUCCUUUAAUUGCUAGUUGUGUAAACAGGAUUGCUUAAUGUGUAGCUUUUAUCAUUGGUGGACAGGAUAUCAGUAAUUGUAUUAGUGUUUGAGAAAGACUUUCUCACUUGAGCAGCUAUGAGCGCACAUUGUGAUUGAGAGACGACCUCAAUUUAAAACAGCAUGGACCGAUUCAAACCCAGGAAGAAGGUUUUUAUCAUGUCCGAAUUAUGGAAAAGUAAGUGUUUUAGGGUUUCAAUUUUUUUUAAUAUCUCUUCCAUUAUAUUUACUUUCAAACCUUCUUUGUUUACAGAGGAAUGCUUGUCAAUUUUUUGCUUGGUAUGAUCCUCCAAUGUGUGAUAGAUCAAGACAAAUAAUCCCCGGAUUACUUCAAAAGAUUAACGGAAUGGAGGAAGAGAUGGAGAAAAUGCAUGCACUAGGCAAAAUGCGAAGAAACAAAUUUAUUAUUGCACUUGUUAUUUCUUGGUUAUUUAUUUUAAUCAUGUUAUUGUAAGGCACAGCUGUUUUUGCACUCCAUUCCAGUUUGUAUGGAUAUUUUUGUUAACCAUGCCUACUCAAACUUGUUAUGAAAUCUAGGUUCACAAGACGAAGUCACUUUAUAAGUGAUUCGGAUCUGUGCUAUAUGUCCCACCUUGUUAUGAAAAUUAUAAAUAAUAGAGAUCCAAAUAGCCUAUCUAUUGUACAUGUAGACUACUUCCUGGGUCCUUGCUCAGACCUGAAUAUAAGAACAUUACUGUUACAAUUAGAUUUGUUACAUAUUGCUGCUUACUACGGUUUUUUUUAAGAACCCACAACAGAGCCAUCAUUCAACUUAAACAUUACUGUUACAUAAAAGCUUCCCAAGACAACAGAGCUAUCAUUGCAUAAAACUCCCCAAGACAACAGAGCCAUCAUUCAACUUGAACAUUACUGUUACACUUGUUUAUGCACAACAGUUAUGAAAUAAAGCUGAAAAUACUAAUUUAAG
rnacentral:lncRNA from 1 species